AUUGAACGCUGGCGGCAGGCCUAACACAUGCAAGUCGAGCGGAUGAAGGGAGCUUGCUCCUGGAUUCAGCGGCGGACGGGUGAGGAAUGCCUAGGAAUCUGCCUGGUCGUGGGGGAUAACGUCCGGAAACGGGCGCUAAUACCGCAUACGUCCUGAGGGAGAAAGUGGGGGAUCUUCGGACCUCACGCUAUCAGAUGAGCCUAGGUCGGAUUAGCUAGUUGGUGGGGUAAAGGCCUACCACGGCGACGAUCCGUAACUGGUCUGAUAGGAUGAUCAGUCACACUGGAACUGAGACACGGUCCAGACUCCUACGGGAGGCAGCAGUGGGGAAUAUUGGACAAUUGGCGAAAGCCUGAUCCAGCCAUGCCGCGUGUGUGAAGAAGGUCUUCGGAUUUUAAAGCACUUUAAGUUGGGAGGAAGGGCAGUAAGUUAAUACCUUGCUGUUUUGACGUUACCAACAGAAUAAGCACCGGCUAACUUCGUG
rnacentral:rRNA from 1 species